rnacentral:rRNA from 1 species
CCUACGGGUGGCAGCAGUGGGGAAUAUUGGGCAAUGGACGCAAGCCUGACCCAGCAACGCCGCGUGAAGGAAGAAGGCCUUCGGGUUGUAAACCUCUUUUAAGGGGGAAGAGCAGAAGACGGUACCCCUUGAAUAAGCCACGGCUAACUACGUGCCAGCAGACGCGGUAAUACGUAGGUGGCAAGCGUUGUCCGGAUUUACUGGGGGUAAAGGGCGUGCAGUCGGGGAGGCAAGUCAGAUGUGAAAUCCACGGGCUCAACCCGGGAACUGCAUUUGAAACUGUUUCCCUUGAGUGUGGGAGAGGUAAGCGGAAUGCGUGGUGUAGCGGUGAAAUGCGUAGAGAUUAGGAAGAACACCAGUGGCGAAGGCGGCUUACUGGACGAUAACUGACGGUGAGGCGCGAAAGCGUGGGGAGCAAACAGGAUUAGAUACCCGGGUAGUC